rnacentral:lncRNA from 1 species
AGGGAUAACAAGAAGAACAGGAUAAUACCAAGGCAUGUGUUGUUGGCUGUGAGGAAUGAUGAAGAACUUGGAAAGCUACUUGCAGGUGUGACCAUAGCUCAUGGCGGGGUGUUGCCUAACAUCAAUCCUGUUCUUUUGCCUAAGAAAACCGAAAAGGCAGCCAAAGAACCCAAGUCACCUUCCAAGGCCACCAAGUCCCCGAAGAAGGCUUAGCCACUCUACCCACCACUAGUGAUAGAGUAUUUAGUUUUAGCAGUCCUUCUUUCGAUAUCUGCUUCCUCGUCUAUGUCUGUAAUUUGCUUUUGAUGUGCUUGCCCUGCUUGUAGGU